UGAAUGCUAGAGAAAUUGCGGGGGAGUC
rnacentral:piRNA from 1 species